AUGUUGUGGCGAAGGCGAACGAAUCUAAUAUCGAAAUCUAUAGUUAUUUUAGUUUAUUUUCCAUGUUCGAUUUUCUUUGUGAUGGUAACCACAACUUUAGCUACCAAAUAACAGCAGCUUAAUGACCAAACAUUGUUGGUGAAUGAAAAAAGUUUCUCUCUAAACUCAAGUUAUUGGUACUUCCGUAAGCAGUUGAUGAUAGUGUUGAUCAAGUGUGAUAUAUACUGUUGUUGCAUUCCCAACAUUAAGCAUGCAGCAAACCUUGCAACAGGCAAACAAAGAUUUAUAGACUGAAUGAGAACUAUCUGGUUUUCUUUCCAAAACUAAAAGGACAGUAACAUGGUGAACUAAAGUUAUUUGUUUGAUAACCCAUUGGUUACCUUAAAUUUCCCUCUUUGACUUUGGGCCCGCUCUUGAUUUGAGAUUAAUCUUGUGCAGUGCAGUCCAUUGUACCUGACGAGAGAUUAGCGACGACUGACUGACUUGCUGUCAUUCAGCAGCAAUACUGCUUACUUGCGUGCCGUCGCUCCGAGGCAUGGGGGAGUUGAGCCUGCUCCAGCUACGCGUCCAGCAUCAUUUGACUACCCAACCGACUUGUACUACCCCUGCUCUCAACACAGCACGGAAUUUUCAUCUUCAGAUUGUUUGACCGGUGUUCGAUGUGUUAUGCCGUUUCCUUGAGGACGACGAGAUGGUGAUAUUGGGGACAAGAUAAAUAAGAUGACUUAUUAUUGUGUUUUUUUUUUUUACAGGUUCUAAACUACAGGUUUCUAAAUUUGCAUGACAGACUUUAUAAGAAGUCAUGUCCUUGGCUACCCUUUUCGCUUCCUUAAAUGGGCCCUCUUGAUUUGAGGGUAACUCCUUCGCUGCUUAUCAUGGACUUCAUCCAUUGGUGAAAACUGACGAGAGCUGAAAACUGACGAGAGACUGCCGUAAUUCAAGACUGAUUAGUUGUGUAGUUGGAUAAAUUACAAGUGCAUAUCUGGGCUCCCUUCUUUUCUGUGGC